GCUGCGGGACGGAGCGGGGCACCGGCAGCCGCGAGUGCUGCAUGGGCAGCGCCUCGGCCCUCAAGGAGCACUUUGUACUGCGCCAUGAGCUUCCAUUAUUGUUUUGGGGCGGUUUGUUUGUUUUCAGUGACGUCCGUGGCUUGUGCUAAGCGGCUUUUAGCGGCGGACAAAGAGCAAACCCCGGCUCGAGACGCGCGGCUCCCGACGCAGGUCGCGCCCGAGGUGGGGCCGCGCUGCCCCGCACGCUGGAACGGCGCGGGCUGGAGCCGCUCCUUCUCACGGCCUGACCCAGUUCUCACGCACAGCCUUGUCAGCCGGCCUCAGAACUCGGGCCAGCGAUUCCAUGCGCCUCUGUGCCUUUCCUUCAGGUGUUUUUAAGAAGGUCGUGACCAUCAUGAGACUCAUCCUGAAGUGAGAGAAAUAAACAGUCUUCAUCCUGCCUGUUUGUUUCACCCCCAGCUAUCCAAGUGCUUGAGAAGCAUCGAUCCUCAGUUACUUCUGGACAGGGCCUGAGUGCUGAUCUGAACUGGGACCUCACACAGAUGUUUCAGUUCUUUGCCCAGCAAGGAUUCAGGCUUGAAACACAUUUUAACCCAUUCUUCCACCUCAGUAAAAGCAGAUGCUUGAAGUGAGAUUCACAUAUCCACUAUAACAGUUCUUCAGAAAACUGGGGAAAAAAAUCAUUGCUCUGUUCAGUCUAGAACAUGAGUAACACUUUCAUUCUGCAAAACACUUCAGUAGUACAGAAAUAGAUGAAAAAAAAGCUCUCAUCAGAAGCUUCUUUCUAGUUGUUGUUGAUCCCUCUUUUAACGGGAAAAUAAUAUUUGAUAAAGGAUUGCAUUAAACAAGAAGGCAGCGCUUUGCAGCAGUCGUUCUAUUUUAAUCUUCAGUAAACAUUACACUUGUGCAGAAUUUUUGCAAAACUGAAACAUUUCUCAAGUACCUUUGUCUCUUCAUCAGAGGGAGAGCUUCAGAAGCAGGAACGAAGCAAGCUGCCUGCUCUGCUGUUUGUGAGAGCGCUCCAUGCUCCCAGUAACUUCAUUAGCGCUUCCACGACACUCUCUUACGUGUUGCCCCGUCCCCUGGGGAGGAGCUGCCCGGGUUCACAUCGGCCAAACCCAAGGCUCCAAGAGGAGGGGGUGGGUGAGCCAGGUCACCGGUCGGACCGUGCAGCAGCAGCUGCCGGGAGGCUGCAGCCAUCCCCGUUCCCCAGAGCACAGCAGCACGGCUGAGCACAGGGCUGGCGCUGCCCCUAACCCCACCUCGGGCUCUCUGUCCCUACAAAGAAACAGAGAGCGUGGAGCUCCUCAACCCGUUCUGCAAUUCUGACAGCAAACUGCUGACUUCAAUUCCUGACUGAAGUCGAUUAUCCUUUAAAUGCAUUCCAGCGAACUGCGCGCUGAUUUACUUGAGGGCACGCCACCCACCAGAGAGGGAAGACAAAACCAGCAGCUCCACACCUACCCACCCACCCAGCUCUCUGCGCCGAGAGAGGGACGGCACCACUACCUAAUACCUGCUCUUGGUGCCGCCCCUUCUCCACGGGCUCAACGUGGCCGCUCGCUUCGGGGUUUUUCGAAAACCUGGAGCCACCCCCCCCCCCCCAAUUCUAAACGCCGCAGGCGUCACACGCGGCGGGACAGCGCGCCCGGCGGGAGGCGCCACUCUCACGGAGCGCGGACGCACCCGACGCGCCCAUGACGUCACAGCGGCGCGCCGCCCGUUGCCAUGGCAGCGGCGCGUUCCGCGGAGCCGGCCCUGCAGCCCCGCCCGCUGCCGGGGGCUGCCUGCAUUGCUGCCAGGCUUCCUUCCUCCUUUUUACACGGCACAUAUUUAAAGUGCUGAUGCAUGCAGCUCAGAGCCACAUUGUUUCUUUCCAGUCUCACAUCUUUCCCUAAGCUGUGCUGAUGAAAUACUAUGCGCGGUUGCGUGGUGAACCCAGUAAAGGACAUGAUCUUGACUAAAAUAACCUGACCAAAGAUGGGUAUUUUGAACUUGGAUCCCUUUCCUGCACAACAGCCUCACAAAGACUUGCCUUGAUUGAUUACAGCUCUGCAGAAGGAUAAACAGUUACUGGUUAACAGCCAGCCUAACUGCAGUGUAAUCCAAGAGGUCAGCCAGUGUCCACGAUUGCUGGGAGUCACUGGGUGUGAACACUGAGGAUGAGUUACCUGCAGAGGUGCUACAAGGAGUUGGAACUUCUCCAGAAAUACCUGGAAGAG